GUGUAUGUGAAGUAGAAAGUUUGUACUUUCAGGCCUCCGCGAAGGUUUGUUUUAGAUUUUUAGAGAUUUAAUCUCUGGUUCUACUACUAAUCAGGUAAUAAUUUAAUUCUUAUUCAUGUAAAUUAAUAAAAAAAUUUUAGAUGUAUUCUAGACUAUCUGAAGAGAAAGUUUUCCUUCUUUUCAAUUGGUAUCAGAGUAGGUCUUUGAUUCAUG
rnacentral:lncRNA from 1 species